UACGUAGGCGGUUCCUUAAGUCAGUGGUGAAAUCCUGCAGCUUAACUGUAGAACUGCCAUUGAUACUGAGGAACUUGAAUAUAGAUGAGGUAGGCGGAAUGUGUUGUGUAGCGGUGAAAUGCUUAGAUAUAACACAGAACACCAAUUGCGAAGGCAGCUUACUAGACUAUAAUUGACGCUGAGGUACGAAAGCGUGGGGAGCGAACAGGAUUAGAUACCCUGGUAGUCC
rnacentral:rRNA from 1 species